rnacentral:tRNA from 1 species
GCCGAGAUGGUGGAAUUGGUAGACACAAGGGACUUAAAAUCCCUCGGUACUCAGUACUGUGAGAGUUCGAGUCUCUCUCUCGGCA